ACGAACGCUGGCGGCGUGCUUAACACAUGCAAGUCGAACGGUGAAGCGCCUUCCUUUUUGGUGGGUGUGGAUGAGUGGCGAACGGGUGAGUAACACGUGAGUAACCUGCCCCCUUCUUCUGGAUAACCGCAUGAAAGUGUGGCUAAUACGGGAUAUUCUGGGUCUGUCGCAUGAUGGGUCUGGGAAAGAUAUUGUUUCGGUGGGGAUGGGCUCGCGGCCUAUCAGCUUGUUGGUGGGGUGAUGGCCUACCAAGGCGGUGACGGGUAGCCGGCCUGAGAGGGUGGACGGUCACACUGGGACUGCGACACGGCCCAGACUCCUACGGGAGGCAGCAGUGGGGAAUAUUGCACAAUGGGCGCAAGCCUGAUGCAGCGACGCCGCGUGAGGGAUGGAGGCCUUCGGGUUGUGAACCUCUUUCGCCAGUGAAGCAGGCCUGCCUCGUUUGUGGGUGGGUUGACGGUAGCUGGAUAAGAAGCGCCGGCUAACUACGUG
rnacentral:rRNA from 1 species